ACCAGCUUGACUCUCACAAGUCAAGGCUGGCCUCGGGCCGGGCUUGGGGAGUAGAAGAACUCCCAGAACUCCAUCAACCAGGUAAUAUAUCUCCUGGUUGUGAGGGACAGGAAGCCGGCAGCAUGUCAGUGGUGGCCCUUUCCCCCACUCCCCAUUUACGCGUUUACUGGUAUGAACGUGUUUAUAUUUUGUAAUUCAGACCUUUAUUUCAGCACGUGUGAGAAAUUAGGUGUUUCAGCUGGGGGGGGGCUGUGUGGUCAACCAGGCUCUGAGUGGUUUGAUGUCGCAGUAAACACUCAAGGGCGUGUAUGCGAAUUUAAGACACGACCGGUGAUGGUGUUUAGCACCGGCAUGUACCUUAAGGGCACCGGAGACGGUGUUUUAAGGCAGUGAACGAUGUGGAGAGUAGACAACCAGGCUGGUUGGACGGGCUUCAGGUCUGUGAGGCUUAGUGCGCGCGAACCAGCCCUGAUCACCGCCAAGUUCGUGAGAGUCAGUGUGGCUGAGGAAUUUCACCUGCAUGUAUGCUCACCUGUGUCGUCAGUGUGCGUGAGUCACUGUGCUGGGGUGGACGUGCGUGUCCGUCUAGCUCUUUACGUGUUGUGAUUCCUGGUUGUGGCCAAUGUACAAACAAUUGUGAUAUAUGUUUAGUGGAUUAUACUUCAGCUCUUUGUAUAACGGCAAGCGUGGUACAGCACCUCCGGAAGACCGACUAACGCUGAGGUGUGUAGACAGUUGUGGUCGUGAACUUGAGAGCCAAACAGGAAGUGGUGAGCCAGGAGGGGUUGAGGAGGAGUUACGAGGAGAGAGAGGGAAGUGUAACCCCCAGCGCUCGGUCAAGACUGGUGAGGGGCAACACUAGGGUGUCAACCUGUUUAGCCAACACCCAGACUCAAAUCACGUGCUAUCUUAACUGCUGCUGCUGGAAAUCGCUGUAAUUCUGACUGUACCGAAGAGCUACAGUACAGCUUGCCCGAAAUGCUAUGCGUAUUAGUGGCUCUAGGUACACAUCAGCAAGCACAAGUCACGGUAACGCCGGGUACACAAACAAUGGAUAAAGACUUGGAAACUUGGGUGCCGGAAUGAACCAUAGGGAUAUUGUAGUUUUAUAAAUGUGUAUGUUAAAAAAUAGAGGGACUAAAAAGUGAUAUGGUGGAGGUAGACGAUACACUUUAAAAUGUAAGUAACUGCCAAAUGAAGUUCGAAAACCUGUAUACUCGUGACGAGUAGAUUGAAUGUUGAGAAGCAGGACCAAAGAGCUGAAGCUCGACCGCCUCAUAGCUGAGACUACAGCAAGGAGAAUUUAUGCCAGUUUCUGGUAAUAGCUCGUCUUGUAACAUCGGUCGAUGUCGUUGUAGAAUGAUUAGGUUGUGGGCAGGAAUUGGAGUACCAA